GAAUGAACUUGCUUGAGGUUUGGCUGUGUUAGCAAAGUUGUGUCUUGGUAGUUUUUGAUCAUAAUGUAACUUAACAUUUAACAAAUGCACCUGUACAGCUUUCCUUAUUUAUGACAAGGUGGAUUACACAAUGGUAGGGGCGCCAAAUCGCACAAAAAACAAACAAAUCUUACAUAAUGUUGCUUAACUUAACUAAUUUAACGUUACUGAUUUAAGGAACCACUCAGUGAGUCAGUUGUGACCAAAUCCAACACACCCACAAUGUAAAGGAGUGGCCAACUGCAGGUGCAUGCUGGGUGAAGCUAGAGACACUGAAUUAAAGAAAUACCUAAGGUCGAGGUGUAAAUAUUGUCAAACGAAGUGCGGGUUUUUGUAUAAUGCCCUUGUGUUUAUCUUGACCAAAGCAGAUAGUGAGACAGCUAGCUAGCUCUGUGACUUCAAUGUAGCAUGUAGCUAGCGUGACUAGCCUAGCUUUUUGAGUGAGCAUCCCUCUGCUUGUUGAUACUACAAUCAGCGAACUAUUGUUAGAAUGUUAGUGGGCUAGCUUUGAUAACAAGGACAAUCUAUGGGCUGGCACAAAUACUCUGACCAAACCACCAACGUUACUAAUGCUAGUGUAGGAGAUACGGAUCAGUUAAUGUUGAAAGUGUACAGUCUGAAAUGGGGACUGGCUCACCUUAAACCAUCAGAGCAGCAGCAAAGGAACUUAUGAUACCCUGACACUCAUUCAGUGAAAAGAUGUGAAAGAUCUGGAGGAGCGCCACAGCGAUGCCCAUCCUUGGCUCCGUGCCCGAUGCCAGCAGACCUCACAGGAACCACAAAAACGUUCCUCCGGAUCCAGAGAGUAUCCCGAACUGCAACUCAAACCAGUUGCUGGCAGAUUUUUCCUCCUGUGGAGGAUUUCCUCAUGACUCAGUUCGAUGAGGGCAGCCGAAUGCUGGGUGGGAUGGAGAGGAGAGAGAAACACAGGAGGAGAGAGAGGCUGUAUCUGAAGGCAUGCGUGUGUGGGCUCCAGUCAGUCUCUACCAGUACCCUGGGAAUGCCACUACUCAGCCCAGCCCAGCACAGAGCAUCCAGGUUGUAUCCAGGGAGACCAGGACCAGAGAAAAAAAAUCCACCGGGGACUGCGUUGGAGUAAAGACUUCCACCACUGCACUCCAUGUCAUUGAGGACAUGAAUGUUUACUAAAAAAAAUCUUGUUUUUUUUCUUUUGAAUUUGUCCUCUGGGCCUGUUGUCAUAGAAAUUCAAGACUUCAUGUCAUCAUGUUUUUGCAUCAACUGCCUCUGUGCUGGAAGUCGGAAUGCACUCUUUCUGUGAUUCCUCACAUUUGGACACUGCCGAGCUUGUGAUUGUAGAAAGGUGUUUGUGCCAAGACUGUCCCAUUGCACACAAACACAGUGAGUGUGCCCGCCUCCCCCUGAGCCUGAAGGGGCAUCUGUUCCUUCCUUGUUGGACAGUGAUUGUAUAGCAGCAGACGUGUAUAGUAUACACGAGUGUGUGUGUGUGUGUGUGUGUGUGUGUGUGUGUGUGUGUGUAUGUAAGGGCAAGUGUGCUGAUGAGAAGAAGAAAGAGACAGAGAUUGCAUUAUGUAAGUCAGCAUGAUGUGUCUCUCCUUUCUUCAACACACAGACAUGCACAUGCUUAAAUAAGUGGAGUGUCACCUUCUCUAUUGCUGUGUCAGGACUUUGGAUUGGAAGCAGGAAAGAGGACCAUCUCAUGGAAAUACCGACCCUUCUCCAGCCUUCUGUAAUUUUACCUUUCCGCUCUGGUUCUUUCUCCCUCGCACUUCCUGGUCGGUGUUGCUAAUUACGCCUUGGACCGUUCUGAAUUAGAAUGUCAUUAUCAUUAUCCAAUGCUAUUUUAUGUCGUCAAGGUUCUCGAUUUGCAUUUGUAUUCACAUGUUUUUCCAUUUGUACACUGACGCUGUGAAAUUGCCAAGAUUAAUUUUCUGUAUGCAUGGUAUUCAUGCAAGCAUUUAUUUUCUGGAAUUAGCAUUCAACUGGCACCUUAUUACACCGCAUAGACCUUUCAUUAUCUCUAAUGAAUGACUCCUUUAAAUGGGGAACAUUUGUACUUGAAUGCUGUAUCUUAAUAUGCAUCGAAAAUUUCACAUUCACGUUGUGAUGAUUGCACAAAUUGGUUCUCCUGAUAUACGUUUUUGUAUGUGAAUGAAAGUUACAUAUGGCCUUAUUUCCUGUGGUAAACACGAGUUAAAACAUUGCUAUCCCUUGAGCACAUGUUUGUGUUCAAGGGAUAGCACCAAUGGUUUGCAGUAAGUGCUUUUAUAUUUUAGUUACAGCCCUCUUAAUAACAUUAGUAAUGAUGAUACUAAAUAGAAGACGCACAAUAAGAUAAAACAAUACAGAAAUAAAAUGCAAAUAACAGAUAAAAAAAUAAAGCCAUGUUUAAUGAACAUUGUAGGGUAUAAGAUGAUUCUGGCUAUGGGCCCAGGUCAAGGGGUGAAACAAGGGGUAAGGAUACUGACACUUGAAGGGGAAUAAGUAGGAUUAAGAUUACAAGAUAAGCGUUAUGCUGCUAAACCAGUUCACAAAUCAUCUAAAAGAAUGAGGAAGACUAAAUACAAAAUAAAUACAAAUACAAAAAGAGAAAUCAAUAAAUUAGCUGAAACAAUGAAGGCCAUCAUUAUAUUCUCACCAUACUCCUCCUUUAAAAGUCAUGGUAGCUGAGGACUACAUUUAAUUUAAUAUCAUUAUAUCAUUCUUUAAAUUCAGUUUAUCUUAAAUCUACCUUCAGUUUAUACUUUUGAAAUUGUGAGACAUCUACUGCUGCUUAUUUUGUCAUUGGCCUUUCAAAUUUAUAUUAGUUUAAGUUGACAGUGGAUGAGGAAAUAAGCUUUAGAUUUGUACAUGUGUGGGUUUGUAUAUGGUUUAUGUGUGUGUGCUUGCAGUUUGUGUAUGUGUGCAUAUGCUUUGUCCUUGUUUUAUAAUGUCAUGUACUGUAUGCUUGAUCAAAGUAGUAAUGACCAAGAUUUGGCAAUAAGAGUUGCCUAAAACAGCGAGUUUCCAAAGAAGAAGUAGACCUAAGCAAUUCAAACAUUUUUGAAGGUCAAGACCAAUGUAUUAUUUUCUUAACAGAAAAAAGUAUUCAGUAUGUCUCACAAAAAUCGAUUCGCUACAGUGUGCCUAUAAAACAGCACUUAAACUAAAACAUUAAACUCAUAAUAUUAAUUAUCUUGAGUAAGACCAUCAUUUCUUAUGACAUGGUGAAACAAGUUUCUCUGCACAUGGUACGGACUGACUCCUUUUUGUGUCAGUUAAACAAAUGUCAUUGCCAUUCAAAGCAGCACUGUCAAAAAGGGAAAAUAGGAAAUAAUCAAACACAAAAGAUAUUAAAGUAGCUAAUGUUGACAAAUGCUGUGGUGCAUUUGCAGGUAUCACUGGAACUGUUUUCUCAUUGUUUGUGUGUCUCAUAGAUGCCACCUGCAUCGAGGCGAGGUACCUACAUUAUGUAACUAACUGGCACAGGACCGUUAUAAUGGAGGACUGAAUGAAAGUUGGCUGCUUAUAACCCACCUGCUAAUUUAUACAGUAUCUAGGGUUCCUGUAGUUCAGUGUCUAUAUCAUUAAGCUGUACCAUAAUCAUCAAGGUGUUUUCUGACAUUUUUGAAGAUCCCAAUUCAAGCCAACGUGCAGACACAUUUUUGGUCUGGUGGGCUGAGCCGAAGAGAACAUACUGACAGUAUUAUACAGCUUUUUGAAGUUGUAUUAAAGUGAUACCCUUUUAACUGAUAGUACCCUUGGUUGAAUAAAAUGAAUUAUUUUCUUGAAAUUCACAUUACAUUUUAUUCAGUAACUUGUGAAUAUUGAGCAGUAGUUAAAAGGAGCUGUUAAGGAAUGAACUACCUUUUGUUCCAUCUGAAAGGAUCAAGUAACGUCCAUACUUAAGAAAGCGUACAAGGACAGGACAAGGCACCCAAUUAUUUAUCCAUGUGUGAGGUAGUGAGUGUCCUUUUGUAAAAAAAAAAAAAAAAAAAAAAUUAAUUCCAAAUUUAACCUUAAAACUUAGCAGCAGCAUUUUCACAUUACUUCCUGUACUGAGAACUGUUUUAUUAGUACUGCUAGAAUUAAAACUAAAACUACUUUAUUAACUGACCUUUGGGAGCAAAAUUACCGCAGUGUAUGUGUGCAGAGAAACCUCCACUGUUUGACCUCAACUUUUUCAGAAUGUUGGGACAGCAAUAAAGACAAUGAGGUUUAAUAAGAGAGUGUUUAUCUUUUAUAUUCAUUUGUAUUCAUUUUCAUUCAUUUAUUAGUAUUAUAAUACUACUGAUGAAAUUGUAAGAACACUGUGGUUGUGUUGAUGCUGUUGUUGUUGAUCAGGCAUCAUGCUUCAAUAUUUAUGGGCUAGGUGGAGUGUGAAGCAUAGUAGCAGCACAUGUUGUAACAUAUUGUACAUAUGAUGGUACAGUGUGAUUGUGUUUUGAAGGUAAGGCAUACAUGAGAAGCAAUGCUAGAUUGUUACCCUCAAUGAAAGCUCCCUUCACAUUCAUUGCACCCCUUCACUGCAUAGCACACAUUAGUAGGUGAGGAUUUAUUUCAGCACAAGAUGUUCCCAUAAAAGUGGCAAUCUUGUUCCACCCGCAUGACGGUUUUAGCAUUCUGGGUAACAGCAUCUGAAAUCAGAGACACAAAUGGGUCUGUCCAUAAAUACAUCUACGUAUAAUGGAGCCACCCUAUGUAAAAGCACUGUUGUUAAAAAUCCUGUGCUGAUGAUAAUUGCUCUUAUUCCAUUUUGAGUUAUUGUGUUAUGUCAGGGUGAUUUGUUUGAGCAAGGUAUGAGUAUGAUAUGAGUCACCUGGUAGUUGUUGACCUGAUAGUUGUGUAUAUGAAUGUUUCACUGUGUGUUCACAGAAUCUGGAAUUUCCCAACUUUAAUAAAGCCAACACUCUGCUGAAA